UAUUCACUGGAUUUUUCACCUUUUAAACAAUUUGUGGUAAACCCAUUUUAGCUUUUCCUUAUUUUCAUGAAUAAAUUCUAAUCUCAAUUGAUAUGAACACAUUCUCAAUUAUUGGUUAGUAACUAUCAAGGCUUACAUUAGAUGUUAAACUUAAAAUUGGCCACCACCCACCCUUAAAGUAAUUAAAUUAUUUAGGCAGUUCAUGGGUAUAGGCUUUUGUUUUUGCCCUUCUCUUUUGUUGAUUAGCCUAUAGACGUUUAAGCGACAGUUCUCGGACUGUUGCGCGUACAAGUACGUGCGGCUUGCCCACAAACGUGUGAAGGGCUCCUCAUUUUUUUUCCUCCCCUAAAUUAACUAUCCAGUUUGAUGGAUUUUUUGAGGAAAACCUAGCGUAGCUCUGUUGUAUCCACAACCAGAGGGCGAAAACGCUUUUAUCACCUAUCACGUAUUUAAACAUUCAAUAUGGACAUUCAAUUUAAUAAAAGUUAUUCCUUUUACAGAACCUAUUCCUUUUACAGUACCUGUUCAUUUUACAGUACCUUGAUAGCCAAGUUAUUCCUUUUACAGAACCUAUUCCUUUUACAGUACCUGUUCAUUUUACAGUACCUUGAUAGCCAACUUAUAUCAUACUAGAUUCUUAUGGAUGCACAUCAAAGCAAUUUUGAUCUUUUUGAUUUAGACAAUAUAACUUCUACAAGUCAAAUAAAUUUAGAGGUUAUUGAUUUUUUUAUCUCAGUCAGCCAGAAUUGAGCAAAUGCGAAAUAACCUGUUUCAUUAAAUUUUAAAUAUUGUGUAUAUAAAUACGAUUACUUUUAUAAUAUAAAUUGAAUGCCCAUAUUGAAUGUUUAAAUAAUUGUUUGGUUUUUCAAAUAAAAUAAUUAUAUUUUUAGAUUAAUCAUUUUAUAUUAUCAUUUUUUUAUAUUCAAAAUAGCAAGCGACAAUAAAGACAAGAAGUAUACACAGAAAUAAACUAUUGACAGGAUUAACAAAUUGUUAUAAAGUAUUCUCUUUUAGCCAAAGAAUCAUUUUUAUUAAAUACACAAAGGCCCUUUUGAAAUUUUUUUUGUUUUAAAAUGUAGCCUUUUUUUUGAUCCAAGAAAAAUUUAUAUUUUUUAUAGUCAAAAAAGAAAUAAACAACUUUUCAUUAUAAUGUGAAUUCUCAUAGCAGAUUUGAAUAUGAAUAUUUUUUUAAAAAGCUUAUAUCAUACUAGAUUCUUAUGGAUGA